rnacentral:tRNA from 1 species
UCCUGAGUAGCUCAGUGGUAGAGCGGUCGGCUGUCGUAGGUUCGAAUUCUACUUGAGGAG